UUGACCUCAAAUCAGGUAGGACUACCCGCUGAACUUAAGCAUAUCAAUAAGCGGAGGAAAAGAAACUAACAAGGAUUCCCCUAGUAACUGCGAGUGAAGCGGGAAGAGCUCAAAUUUAAAAUCUGGUGGUCCUCGCGGCCGUCCGAGUUGUAAUCUGGAGAAGCGUUUUCCGCGUCGGACCGUGUACAAGUCUUUCUGGAAUGGAGCGUCGUAGAGGGUGAGAAUCCCGUCUCUGACACGGACCGCCGAUGCUUUUGUGAUACGCUCUCGAAGAG
rnacentral:rRNA from 1 species